GUGAAAUGAUGAACAAGUUUAUCCAUUCUCUGAGAAAUGCAAACCACUUGUUUCACUGCAUGCUGAUUCCUGUUCUAGGUUCAGUGUGUAUUUCAUCUAUCUUGUGCCAUAUCUUCUCAGUGUUUUGCUGACAAGUUACUGGUACCUGCUUAGGUGUAUGUGAUGCAAGAUGGUUUGUCAGGGUUGGGACUAUUUUGUACUCCUGCCCAUAAAGAUGAGUGAUGCAUCUGAUCAC